UACGGGGGGUGCGAGCGUUGUUCGGAAUUAUUGGGCGUAAAGCGCGUGCAGGCGGUUUUGUAAGUCUGAUGUGAAAGCCCUGGGCUCAACCCAGGAAGUGCAUUGGAUACUGCAAGACUUGAGUUCGGGAGAGGACAGUGGAAUUCCUGGUGUAGGGGUGAAAUCCGUAGAUAUCAGGAAGAACACCGGUGGCGAAGGCGGCUGUCUGGACCGAUACUGACGCUGAGAUGCGAAAGCGUGGGUAGCAAACAGG
rnacentral:rRNA from 1 species